AACGAACGCUGGCGGCAUGCCUAACACAUGCGAGUCGAACGAGACCUUCGGGUCUAGUGGCGCACGGGUGCGUAACGCGUGGGAACCUGCCUUUAGGUUCGGAAUAACUCAGAGAAAUUUGAGCUAAUACCGGAUGAUGUCUUCGGACCAAAGAUUUAUCGCCUUUAGAUGGGCCCGCGUUGGAUUAGCUAGUUGGUGAGGUAAAGGCCUACCAAGGCGACGAUCCAUAGCUGGUCUGAGAGGAUGAUCAGCCACACUGGGACUGAGACACGGCCCAGACUCCUACGGGAGGCAGCAGUGGGGAAUAUUGGACAAUGGGCGAAAGCCUGAUCCAGCAAUGCCGCGUGAGUGAUGAAGGCCUUAGGGUUGUAAAGCUCUUUUACCCGAGAUGAUAAUGACAGUAUCGGGAGAAUAAGCUCCGGCUAACUCCGUG
rnacentral:rRNA from 1 species